GCCAGGCAUGGUGGUGCAUGCCUGAAAUCCCAGCGGCUUGGGAGGCUGAGGAAGGAGGAUCGUGAGUGGGAGGCUGGCCUCAGCAAAAGAGAGGCACUAAGCUCUUCUCCCUUUAGCUGUGCCUUCUGGCUCCAACUCAGCCUCCA
rnacentral:sRNA from 1 species